GGAGAGGCCGGGGGUGUAAGCUCAGCGAUGAGUUGAGCUAACCGGUACUAAUGAACCGUGAGGCUUAACCUUACAACGCCGAAGC
rnacentral:rRNA from 1 species